AUGCAGUUUUAAUAAAGAAAGCAAAAAAAUGGCAGACAUGCUAAUCUGGGUCAGUUAUAAAUCCAUGUAUGAUAGGUGAUCUUCAUCUGAUUGAGAAAAGAUGAAUGGUUAGGAACAUAAGAUCAGUUCACCUAUUGCCCAACCUUGAAU